rnacentral:ncRNA from 1 species
UUCAAAAAGCGCCAGAGCCGUAGUGCAGAGAUACGGUUGACGAGGUGGAAGUGAUCGAAUGUUUCGGCGGAUGCUUCCCGCCCAUUCGCACAGGGACGCAGGUCUUUUACAAAACAUCUGAGCAAUCAGCUGGACAAAAAAAAGAUAA